rnacentral:lncRNA from 1 species
GCCUGAAUUUAGAGGGGAGGAGUUGAACAACAGCAACUGAAAAUGUGUCUGAGGUGACUGAAAUAGUGACCACCUUGUCGGGACUAUCAUCUCUGAACUCAUCCUGUAGAGGCAGUGACAACCCCCUGUGUCUCAUUGCCAAGAGAGAGCCAGGGCCAACAUAAAAGCUGUGACAUGAAGAUGUCCAGGAGGAGUCAAAAUGCAGACUUCACACCUUCGUACAGCUGUCCUCUUCCUAAAGAGUUGACCUGUCAGCAGCAGCAGCAACAGUUUGGAACAGUUCUGCCAUCGAACGCCUCCCAGCUGCAGGUGCAGCACCAGACAAAAGCAUCUUCACAGAGCAGGACUCAGCCGGAGACGGCUCCCGAGGCUCUGUAAUCGAAUCUUUCCAUUCUAACAGUGUCAUCUAGAGGUACUAAAUAGGAUGAGGGUAUUGCUGUGACAAGUACUGCAGAAACUCCAGCUUCUGUGACCCAGCAGGACAUGGAAGCAACAGACCCAUUUGCCACAUUCAGCUGCAUUCAGUAGAGAGGCUGAGGCUUGGAGACAUUGAAUAUCUGAAGGCUUUUGAAGAAGAAACAUCACCCUAAUACUUCCACAGCAGGAGGCAGCUGAGCUUCACCUUCAGCUCAGACUCUGCCAAGGAACACCUAAAGGAUGAGCAAAUCAGAUAAAGGAGGGGAGUGCAGGACCAUGGAGUGAUGGAGGACUUAGGGAUGCAAAUUUGUAUGUAACCACCUCUUUCAGUCCCACUACUCACAGGGUGACUUCUUUAUGUAGAACCUGAAUGAUUGCAUGUUAUCUUCAAAUGCAUCUGGACCCCUUACGAGUGAUUGCUAAUAAUAAUAUACAGGUGAACACAGAUGAGAAAUGCAGCCUACAUAAUCCCUAAAGUGGACUCCUGCACUGACCCACUCAAGUACAGAAGCAGAUCAUGAUGAAGAACCAGUGCAGACUGCCUUAUCCUGUGGGGAUACCCAGCCUGAGGGCGAUAAAGAAGGCAAAUCCCAAGCUCUGCUUCCUUAAUCAGAGAGGAAAGAGGUUUUGUGUGCAGACAGUUCUGCUGAUAGGAACAAGGGUGCUCCAAGGUGUCCCUGUGCAGUCUUUGCUUGUGGGACCCAUCACCUCCUUAGAAACAUGGCCGCCUUCUACCACAGGGACAGAGAAAAAGUACCAUUUCAAAUAUGCCCCAUCUGUGGUUCCUAUGUUUGGAAAGCACUGGUGCACCUGUGAAAGGAGCGGAGUGAGCUGCAGGAGCAUUUGAUCUUGUGUAUUGAUCUCCCUGAAGAAAUGAGCCAACCUGCUGCCAACUUGCACUGAUCUGGAUGCUUUGCUCUGUGAUCGACAGCAAGGUAGUGUGCCAGAAAGGUCUGGGUUGUCCGAGCUGGAUUUGUGCCAUGAGAGUCAUGGGCCAGACUUUGCAGCUAGGAUUUGCAGGUGGUUUGUACUUCAGAUUUACCAUUUCCUUAAUACUCGAGGAUGGUGACACAAUCCUUCCUCUCUUUUGGAGAGAUGGCAGGGACGUUUGCACCACAUAUUAUCUUACUGAGAAAGGAGGUGGAAAUCCACUAGCGUGGUAGUACAGAUGAAAAUAUUAUCACAUUUGCUACACAACAUUUCCAUAUACAUUCUGAGGGCAUUUCUGUGGACAACAGAUGGGGGACUCACUGUCAAUAUGAGGAGGGCAGCAGAGAGAUCUUUGAGAUAAUUUGGAAGAGAAUUUGCAGAGAAGGCAAAUGUACCUCCUUCAGCUGGACAAGCUGUCAGAAGUCCUAACAAAGUUCCUCACAUUUUCUCUCUUCGGUGUAUUUUUAUAAGAAGGGAAAAUUGAAGGGAAAAGAAAGUCUCCUCUAAUCCUUACAAAAGUAUUGCUUUAUUGCACAUUCAUGAUAACGUGAUAACUUCUGUUUUCAAGAAAUGAAAUUCCAUAUGAUGGGUUAUUCUGAAAAGUGUUGACAAAUACAAUCCUAAUAUAAACCUUAAAACAAUACAAUUAUUGAUGCAAUGGCAUAUAAUAUCUCAACUUUCUUGAAGUAUUAUGCUUACUAUUAGUUUUUGCGCUUGGUAUUCUAUUAAAAAAUAAAAAAUGACCUCUUUUACCAUCACUGCAUCUAUCUCUCUAUAUUUAUUUGAUGCACAUCACAUGCUGCUGUCCAGAGAGCCUCUCCUCCAUUUCCAAAGUCAUCUCUCUCCACUGGCUUACAUCAUUUGGUCUUGGUGCACUGUCUCCGUUGGAAAAUUUGAACAACCUUUUCAAAACCACACACACGUUCCUUACCAGCUGCCUUUGUGAAUGGAGCCUUUUCCAGAAAAAUGUGACCUCACUUGGAAAUGACGCAAAGCUUUGGUUAGCACUGCAGAGUCUGAGCUGGUAAGACCUACCUGCUGAUACGGUG